rnacentral:rRNA from 1 species
UAAUACCCGCAGCUCAAGUGAUUUGGAGUUUUAUUGGGUCUAAAGCGUUCGUAGCUGGGUCUGUAAGUUCUCUGUGAAAUCUGGCGGCUUAACCGUCAGGCGUGCAGAGGAUACUGCGGACCUUGGGACCGGAGUGGGCCAAAGGUACUCCUGGGGUAGGGGUGAAAUCCAAUAAUCCUGGGGGGACCACCUGUGGCUAAGGCGUUUGGCUAAGACGGGUCCGACAGUGAGGGACGAAAGCUAGGGGAGCGAACGGGAUUAGAUACCCCGGUAGUCCUAGCCGUAAAUGAUGCAAACUAGGUGUUGCAGUCUUUUCGUGAGGUUGCAGUGCCGAAGGGAAGCCGUUAAGUUUGCCACCUGGGAAGUACGGUCGCAAGGCUG